CCUGGGCCUCACUAUGAUCAGAGAAAUGCUCAUUAGGCCUUGGCCUUGACUAACAGCAGCUGAGCUAAACUCCUCUCGAUCUUAUCCCUGCUUCCAGGGACUUAUGAUAACGAGAUUCUGUUUUUAAACACCACUCUUGGAAAUUUAUUUUUCUUUCCUGAAUAGCAUCUCUAGUGGAGUAACAUUUUUGUCAUCAAACUUUCAAAGGUUACCAACCCAAAUUGCUGGAUGAGAAAUCAUUAUGAUUAAAGCCAACUCUCUCAUGACCCUCCAAACAGCAGUCCAAAGUGAGACCCUUUGAGCUCUCCUGGACUGCAGUGGGCUAUGACCAGCAAUCUCCCUCUGACUGGGCUGCCUGUCAGAGCCAGCGAACUCUCAUGUUUGCUAUACUUGAAGGACCACCUCUGAACAGUGAUGACGGACCCCGGGCCAACAUCCUCCACUCCCCUAGACUCGACCCCUCGCCCAUUUAGAAGGUGCAAAGGCAUCCAGCAAACCAUGUAGUUUAGCUAAACACAAAGUCCCCUGUGCAGCAGUUGCUGGCUUUGAAGGUACCACGCCUCCACAGCUCCACCAUACCCUCCGGGACACUGAGGGAUGAUUCCACAUGACAGCCCCGUCAGGGGAGCAAAAGGGACAAAGAUCUGGCUUUCCCAAAGAAAAUGUCAACAAUGCUAACAAUGUAGAAAAGACCCUCCACUUUCUGACAAGAUUGAUGGUAAUUAUGACAGUGGCUUACAUAUCAUGGAGACCCUGCAGAAAGGAAAUGGUGUCCCUCCUUCUCACUCAAGUUAUUUUAGAUAAAUAAUCAUACAUAUCUACAAGUAAUGAUGGCAAAGUAGAAGUUAUACCAGUUGAAAGGAGGUUCAUUGUGCCACCAUUAGUGUUAUUCUACAUUUUGUUGGUAGUAAAGGCAUCCUUGGUUUUUUUUGAUGUUUUUGUAUGAGAAAAAAUAUAUGGAAGUCAUCAUUAGGUCUGUCAUUGCUGGUUAUUGUACCACCAGCAUGGCAUUUCAAAAUAGACAUAUUAAAUAUCCUCUCUUUUUUCCCCCCAGGGGAGUAGCAUAGCUGAAAACAACUUUUCAUAUAUCAGCAGUUGACUCCUGUGGGAAUAUGAAGAUUUUAGCAUUCAGUGUGCCAAGCUAAGAAGUGAAUUUAUGCUUGUGGAUUUAUACUGUGAAGACUCAAGGAAGUGAGACAUUACUCAGUCUAAGUUUGUGCGGGUAAUAUUAGACUAUUAUUCAAAAAGGCAAAAACAUAUGUCUAAGCUGGUGUAUCAUGACACAUUAGAAGGCAAGGAAUGUGUUCAGGAGUGCUUGUUAUUUUUCCUUCUAGCCAGUUUCAAAGUCUUUGUACUUUAUUCUAAGAAUCACAAUCAAACUUUACUCCUCUUAAUUCUUUCUCAAAUGAUUCUUCUCUGCAGAAAUACGAGAUACAUUUUUCAGUUUUGUUUGGGCUGCCAAUUUCCUUUCACUCUUGACAACAACAACAAAUCUCUAAAACAAUUCUCCCACAUUCACUAUUUGGCUGACCAGCCCUUGAGGAACACAGAAGAAGAAUCAAGAAUACAAAGUGGUUUGGCAACAUAACAGCAGCUCUGGAUCUAUUUGCAUCUGAGCCUGUUUUACAAGGUGCU